AUAGUAUUAGACUAGUGACAGAUGCAGAAGAGGAAUCAGUCAGGAGCUAUUAACAGUUUAAUUGAUAUGCUUUUAUGAAGAAGUGGAUUUUUAAUUAUUUUUUGAAGGAGUGGAGACUGGGUGAGCAUCUAACGGAGGAGGGAAGUGAGUUCCACAGGAACGGUGCAGCCCUCGAGAAAUCUUGAAGGCGAGCAUCAGAGGUGGGAGUACGGACAGAAGAUAGACGUAAGUCUUCAGCAGAUCGUAAGGGCCUAGACGGGACAUACUUGUGUAUAAGGGAGGAUAGAUAGGUGGGAGAGGUGUAGAGAUUUGAAAGCAAGAGCCAGAAUUUUAAAUUGAGCUCUAUAUCUUAUAAGAAGCCAAUGUAGGGACUGACGGGUGAGGUGUGGGAAGAUGAGCCUCGUCCCCGCAUUCAUUAUGGACUGUAAUGGCACAAGUUGGGAGCACGUAAGACCACUGAGAAGCGGAUUACAGUAGUCAAGGCGAGAAAGGACAGUGGAAUGGACCAGCACCUAAGUCGCAUCUGGCAUUAAGUAGGGACGGAUGCGCGCAAUGUUUUUGAGAUGGAAAUGGUGAUAGACUGAACAUGAAGCUUGAAGGAGAAGUCGCAGUCAAAGAGAACACCUAGGCAGGGAGCCUGCGUGGUGGAGCUGAUGGUAGCACCGUUGAUUUGGAGGGAGACAGACACAGGAGUAACAACACUUGAGGGAGGAAAGACCAGAAUUUCAGUUUUGGUCAAGUUUAGUUUAAGGAAGUGGGCAGCCAUCCAGUUAAAGACAGCAGAGAGACAGUCAGAGACACUAGUCAAGAGGGACGGGGAGAGACCAGGAGAGGAGUUAGAUUUGCGUGUCAUCUGCAUAGAAAUAAUAUUGGAAGCCAAAGGAGCUAAUGAGUUUACCAAGGGAGGCAGUAUAGAUGUAGAACAGUAGGGGACCAAGGACUGAACCUUGGGGGACACCAACAGAGAGGAGUUGGGGAGAAGAAGCAGAG